CCUACGGGAGGCAGCAGUGAGGAAUAUUGGACAAUGGGCGCAAGCCUGAUCCAGCCAUGCCGCGUGCAGGAUGACGGUCCUAUGGAUUGUAAACUGCUUUUAUACGAGAAGAAACACCCCUACGUGUAGGGACUUGACGGUAUCGUAAGAAUAAGGAUCGGCUAACUCCGUGCCAGCAGCCGCGGUAAUACGGAGGAUCCAAGCGUUAUCCGGAAUCAUUGGGUUUAAAGGGUCCGUAGGCGGUUUAGUAAGUCAGUGGUGAAAUCUCCCCGCUCAACGGGGAAACGGCCAUUGAUACUGCUAGACUUGAAUUAUUAGGAAGUAACUAGAAUAUGUAGUGUAGCGGUGAAAUGCUUAGAGAUUACAUGGAAUACCAAUUGCGAAGGCAGGUUACUACUAAUGGAUUGACGCUGAUGGACGAAAGCGUGGGUAGCGAACAGGAUUAGAUACCCUGGUAGUCCACGCCGUAAACGAUGGAUACUAGCUGUUGGGUGCAAACUCAGUGGCUAAGCGAAAGUGAUAAGUAUCCCACCUGGGGAGUACGUUCGCAAGAAUGAAACUCAAAUGAAUUGACGG
rnacentral:rRNA from 1 species